rnacentral:lncRNA from 1 species
AAAACCCUCCACUUGGCUGCUGGUGGGUGUUAAUAUCCCACCUUGUUCAUUAUACAGCCAACACAUUCUCACUCCCAACUCGUCAUAUACUGACGCUUGGUCAGGAACCCUCGGCGUAAGUUAUUGACGCACAGGGUACCCCUUUAGCGUCACAUUUAGACGUGCAGGGAUUCCCUAUAGAAUCUGUACCUGACCCUGAAGCGUCAUAGGGAGACGCUGGAGGCUCGUAUAAUUACCAAUAGAUGUCAACGCACUUUUUAAAACCUGAUUUACGCCUAUUAUCGCAGUUUUCUUCUUUUAAAAAUAUGUAAUUUUUAUUUUGUUCAUGAAAAGCGUCUGUAAACUGGGUCGAAACUACUGUAUGAAUAAACUUCGGUCCACGUGACAUCCCUUCACGUCUAUGCUCGCUAUCCCAAGGUUCAUUGCGAUCCCAAGGUUCACUGCGGUUUUCCACAAGAUGCAGAAACUUUUGACAUAUGAAUUCAUCUUGACUAAGGAACUCUUCACAGCACUGCACCUGAACAGUCACAACCUCACAGAGCUGCACAACUGCCCCACUCAGAUCAGUGUUGAAGCUGGAACCUCAUCUUGUGUACAGCAAAGGCAGAGCUGAAAAUUCACUGUCUGUCUUGUAUUGUGUGUGGCAAAACCUGGAAUAACACCUGGGAGCCCUCCAGGAAUUCCUGACACUUUACGCCCAAGUCUCCUCAUGCUAACCGGGUUGCAAUAUGACAGUCUAGUCAGCAUAAACACCUGGACUCACCAAGCACACUUUGGUUCUCAGUGUUUUGUAAAAAUUGUUUUUGCUAUUCUUCAGUAAAUACUUGAAUAUGUUUUGAACUUAUUCUACUUUUGAUGUUUAAGUUCAGAAAGUUGUUAUUAUAAACAUAAUUUGCAUUUGUCAUGAACUUGACUUCUUGUUGUUGUGAAAGCUGUUUAUUAUAAUGGCAUUUCCAAAGGCAUCAUUUGAAAAGAUUUUUUGCAGUGCAGUUUUACUUGAGCUUGACAUACCAGAUGUAUGACAUGAAUAAAUAUCACAAAAUAAAUAUAAUAAUGAUAAUACAAAAUAUAAAUUUCCUUCAAUUAUAAUUGUUUUUAAUCAUUUAUAUAUGUAUGGUAAUAUAUUAUUGCAUUAAAAACUGUUAUAAAUAUAUAUAUUUUUGGUUUUUGCAUGUUUGCGUGAUUUUUUUUUUUUGUGGCAUUAUAAAUAAAUUCUAAAUGUUUCAUUAAAAAUGUAUU